rnacentral:rRNA from 1 species
GAUGAACGCUCGCUACAGGCUUAACACAUGCAAGUCGAGGGGAAACGGCAUUAAGUGCUUGCACUUUUUGGACGUCGACCGGCGCACGGGUGAGUAACGCGUAUCCAACCUUCCCAUGACUAAGGGAUAACCUGCCGAAAGGCAGACUAAUACCUUAUGGUCUUCACUGACGGCAUCAGAUGUGAAGUAAAGAUUUAUCGGUUAUGGAUGGGGAUGCGUCUGAUUAGCUUGUUGGCGGGGUAACGGCCCACCAAGGCAACGAUCAGUAGGGGUUCUGAGAGGAAGGUCCCCCACAUUGGAACUGAGACACGGUCCAAACUCCUACGGGAGGCAGCAGUGAGGAAUAUUGGUCAAUGGGCGAGAGCCUGAACCAGCCAAGUAGCGUGCAGGAUGACGGCCCUAUGGGUUGUAAACUGCUUUUGUAUGGGGAUAAAGUCAAUCACGCGUGAUUGUUUGCAGGUACCAUACGAAUAAGGACCGGCUAAUUCCGUG